AUGGUCCAGAGUCUUCUUGGGAGUGUUCCUCAUACAAGAACAUCAAGAGAGAGAAGGUUUUUGUACAGCCCUGUAUCACUGUGGUGGGUGUUCGGAGGAGGAACCCAGCUAACCGUCACAGGUCAGGAUCCAGUAUCUCCUUCGGUCCAAGUCUUUGCUCCUUCUGAGCAAGAGAUCAAAACCCAGAAGAAGGCCACUCUGGUAUGUCUCCUAAGUGGCUUUCACCCACCUGCUUUCACCCUGAAAUGGAAGGUUGAUGGUACAGAGACCACCUCUGGAGUGGAGACAACCAAAGCCACCAAGCAGGGUGACAAAUACCUUGCCAGCAGUUACCUGACCAGGAGUGAUUCCGACUAUGGAGACCAUACGUACGUCUGUGAAGUGAUACAUAAUGGAAAUACCUUUACAAAGGCUCUUACGGGAUCUGGAAGUUGUUAACUCCGUCACGAGCCUUCUCCUGACCACAGACAGGAGGAAAGAGUCCCUUUUCUCAUUCAUUCUUUCCUAAGUUGAGCUUGAUCAAGGAAGGUCUCUUCCUAUGCCAAGUAGUUAUACUCUUUGUAUCCCCUCCAUGCUUCCGUCCUUCAAAUCAGUCCCCUCCUCUUUGAUCUGUUAGAUUCUACUGUCAGCACGUUAAUAAAGAUGGAUCUAUUUCA